rnacentral:rRNA from 1 species
GAUGAACGCUGGCGGCGUGCCUAAUACAUGCAAGUCGAGCGAACAGACGAGGAGCUUGCUCCUCUGACGUUAGCGGCGGACGGGUGAGUAACACGUGGAUAACCUACCUAUAAGACUGGGAUAACUUCGGGAAACCGGAGCUAAUACCGGAUAAUAUAUUGAACCGCAUGGUUCAAUAGUGAAAGACGGUUUUGCUGUCACUUAUAGAUGGGUCCGCGCCGCAUUAGCUAGUUGGUAAGGUAACGGCUUACCAAGGCAACGAUGGGUAGCCGACCUGAGAGGGUGUACGGCCAAAUUGGGACUGAGAUACGGCACAGACUCCUACGGGAGGCAGCAGUGGGGAAUAUUGCAAAAUGGGCGAAAGCCUGAUGCAGAGACGCCGCGUGGGGGAUGACGGCCUUCGGGUUGUAAACUCAUUUCGCUAGGGACGAAGCGCAAGUGAAGGUACCUGGUGAAGAAGCACCGGCUAACUACGUG